rnacentral:rRNA from 1 species
AACGAACGCUGGCGGCAUGCCUAAUACAUGCAAGUCGAACGAUCUCUUCGGAGGUAGUGGCGCACGGGUGCGUAACGCGUGGGAAUCUGCCCUUGGGUUCGGAAUAACGUCGGGAAACUGAAGCUAAUACCGGAUGAUGACGUAAGUCCAAAGAUUUAUCGCCCAAGGAUGAGCCCGCGUAGGAUUAGCUAGUUGGUGGGGUAAAGGCCUACCAAGGCGACGAUCCUUAGCUGGUCUGAGAGGAUGAUCAGCCACAGUGGGACUGAGACACGGCCCAGACUCCUACGGGAGGCAGCAGUAGGGAAUAUUGGACAAUGGGCGCAAGCCUGAUCCAGCAAUGCCGCGUGAGUGAUGAAGGCCUUAGGGUUGUAAAGCUCUUUUACCCGGGAUGAUAAUGACAGUACCGGGAGAAUAAGCUCCGGCUAACUCCGUGCCAGCCGCCGCGGUAAAAC